CGAACCUCACUCUAAUGUGUUGCGUAGGCGUUGUGCACAGUGACGUAUUACAUAAUUCCUGUGCAUUUCUCCCACGCAUAGCGUUGAAGUGAAAUGUCAUC
rnacentral:pre_miRNA from 1 species